rnacentral:snRNA from 1 species
GACUGUGAGGGCGAUCUGGCUGUGACCUUGGUCAUCCCACUGAUCACCAGGGUUGACUGGACUGAUCUGGUUGACUAGGCAUUGUUCCCUUUCUCCCUCACUACUCCAGGUGUGACCCUCCUGAAGCUGCACAGUUGUGGGUGGAAGAGGACGACCUUCCCAGACAGAGGAGAACCAUUCUUCUGUCAAGGAUGUACAAGUAGCUGUGCCUUGCUGCUGGAAACUCCAAAUAAUUUCUCAAGAUAAUAAAAACUAACAUAUUCCUAGCUAAAACUGGGCCUUUCCCACAUCUAUUUAUUGCCUCUCAUAGACUUAG